GACGAACGCUGGCGGCGUGCCUAAUACAUGCAAGUAGGACGAGUUGCGAACGGGUGAGUAACGCGUGGUAACCUACCUAUUAGAGGGGGAUAACUAUUGGAAACGAUAGCUAAUACCGCAUACCAUCGGUUGUGCCCAGAUGGGAUUAGCUAGUAGGUGGGGUAACGGCUCACCUAGGCGACGAUCCCUAGCUGGUCUGAGAGGAUGACCGGCCACACUGGAACUUAGACACGGUCCAGACUCCUACGGGAGGCAGCAGUGGGAAAUAGGGCACAAUGGGCGCAAGCCUGAUGCAGCCAUGCCGCGUGUAUGAAGAAGGCCUUCGGGUUGUAAAGUACUUUCAGCGGGGGGGCGUUACUCGCAGAAGAAGCACCGGCUAACUCCGUGCCAGCAGCCGCGGUAAUAC
rnacentral:rRNA from 1 species